rnacentral:rRNA from 1 species
UACGUAGGGUCCGAGCGUUGCCCGGAAUUACUGGGCGUAAAGAGCUCGUAGGUGGUUUGUCGCGUUGUUCGUGAAAACUCACAGCUUAACUGUGGGCGUGCGGGCGAUACGGGCAGACUUGAGUACUGCAGGGGAGACUGGAAUUCCUGGUGUAGCGGUGGAAUGCGCAGAUAUCAGGAAGAACACCGGUGGCGAAGGCGGCUCUCUGGGCCUUACCUGACGCUGAGGAGCGAAAGCGUGGGUAGCGAACAGG